GACGAACGCUGGCGGCGUGCUUAACACAUGCAAGUCGAACGGUGAAGCCUUCGGGUGGAUCAGUGGCGAACGGGUGAGUAACACGUGAGCAAUCUGCCCUUGACUCUGGGAUAACUUCGGGAAACCGGAGCUAAUACCGGAUAUGACAUCUGGCCGCAUGGUCUGGGUGUGGAAAGAUUUAUCGGUCAAGGAUGAGCUCGCGGCCUAUCAGCUUGUUGGU
rnacentral:rRNA from 1 species